CUUAUCUCUUCCCACGUUUCUCCCUCACCCUCUCUCAUCUUAUCUCCUUCCUACUGCUCUUGAGAAGUGUGAGGUUGCUCCAUCGCGGUUAGGGCAGAGGUGCGGAGCGCCGUCGCAGCGUCCAGGAGGGAGCUGUGGAGGCUUGGCCGUCAGGGACCACGGCGCUUGCUCCGGAUGAGCGCAACUGCAGUCAACGAGGUCCUUCCUCUUGGACGAAGCACGAUGCUGAAACGCUGGGCGUGUCGGCGUUUGACGGAUAGCAGCAACAGCGGCACCCGUUGAGGGCACCAGUGCCCGGCGGCUGGCGAGGAGGGAGCAGGAGGGGCGCGGGGGCUGACUUCUUCUGCGACGACAUUGGCGCCUUAAGGCGGGAGGCGGCGGCCGUGGUGGCCACCACACUGUUCAAGGACGGCAGAGCUUGGAGCUGUUGCACCCAACGCACAGUGGCAUGGCGAUGCGCGAGACCGACUGCGGCGGCGCUGGGCUGGAGCAGCGGCGCCCGUACGGCUGCGCGGGCAGCUCGCCGAGCGACCGUCGAUUUUUUUAAAUUUGUUAUUCAAUCUGUGGGACGGGUCAUGCUCUCAUCCGCUCAUAUAAAUUGAUUUGUAGAGCGGCUGAGGGCAUGACCCGCCCCUACAAAUGGAUUUUCAAAGGCAGUUGAGGACAUAACCUGCCUCCACAAAUGGAUUUUUAAGGGCGGGUGAGGGUAUGACCCGCCCCUACAAAUAUUA